UUCCAGGGAGAUGGAUUGAGAGUAUAAAAUAAGGGACAGUGGCAUACCUCUCUCCUUCCCCACAUAUGUUGAAGGCAACAAAAAUGCUGAGAAGUCAAAGACUUUGAACUGAGGAGAUUGGUCCCAGACUGAGAAGGAAGUUCAGCUUGUGUAUUAAGAACUGUAACCUACCAGCAACAUCCAGUGAGGUUAAGAAAUGGAGGUUUGGAAGGGUGAAGUGAUUUACCUAACAGGCUUUGAGAACACAACAUGUCCCAUUGGAAGAAACCACAAUUUGGUGGUUUGUGUAGUAUGAUAAAUGUGAAGUAUACAAUACUGAAGAAAGUAUGUCCCCACCAACCUUGCUGACAUACACACACAGAGAAAGACAGCUAGAAGAAGGCAGGAAAGUGACAGGCAAAAGGGGGGCUCGGAUACACUCAGUGAAGCCCCUUCUGCUAUGGACAGUCCUGGACCCUCC